ensembl:lncRNA
GCACACAUGCGCAAGUCGUAUACACGCCUGCGUGAACGUACGCUCACAACGCUUUUACAAAAACUCACAAUUUGAUGCACAUCCGACAUAUCAUUUACCAGGUGGCUGGGACUCCGCUGACACCUCCUACGAGGUUGAGCUCAGGAGGCCCAUGGCCGGCGUCUCUCUCCCCCAGUGAGAGGUGAGCCAAGCUGGCCGCCCCGGCCUUCACCCUGCUCCCGGCCCCCGACCCGCCGGACCCCUGCGGCCCCCCGCCUGGGCCCAGCCCCCUCCAGGAGGAGCAGUAUGUGAGCGAGGGGGAGCAGUAUGUGAGCGAGGGGGAGCAGUAUGUGAGCCGGGGGGAGCCGCCGGCCACGGAGCCCCCCGACCUGGCCACGCCCGACUGCAGAGAUGCAGAGACCAUCACAGAUGUGUGUAACAGCACCGACCUGCCAGAGUUUGAGAUCAUCAGCCUGCUGGAGGAGCAGCUGCCCGUGUACCGGCUGCGAGCGGACACGGUGUACGGCUACGACAAC